rnacentral:piRNA from 1 species
UGACAUCGGUCCCUCGCAUAAU